UACGUAGGGUGCAAGCGUUGUCCGGAAUUAUUGGGCGUAAAGAGCUCGUAGGCGGUUUGUCGCGUCUGCUGUGAAAACUCGGGGCUUAACUCCGGGCCUGCAGUGGGUACGGGCAGACUAGAGUGCGGUAGGGGAGACUGGAAUUCCUGGUGUAGCGGUGAAAUGCGCAGAUAUCAGGAGGAACACCGGUGGCGAAGGCGGGUCUCUGGGCAUCUCCUGACGCUGAGGCGCGAAAGCGUGGGGAGCAAACAGG
rnacentral:rRNA from 1 species